UACAGAGGUCUCAAGCGUUGUUCGGAUUCAUUGGGCGUAAAGGGUGCGUAGGCGGCGCGGUAAGUCGGGUGUGAAAUCUCGGAGCUUAACUCCGAAACUGCAUUUGAUACUGUGGUGCUUGAGGACUGGAGAGGAGACUGGAAUUCACGGUGUAGCAGUGAAAUGCGUAGAUAUCGUGAGGAAGACCAGUGGCGAAGGCGGGUCUCUGGACAGUUCCUGACACUGAGGCAGCGAAGGCCAGGGGAGCAAACGGG
rnacentral:rRNA from 1 species